UUAAUCAAUGCCAGCUCCCUAAGUCUCCAAGCAGGCCCCCAAGAUAGAAGAUUGAUUGGUCUGAAUACAUCAUACAUAAACCAGGAAUACUUCAUAAGAAUGUAAAGGACAUUUGUUUCUGAGAGCUACAAAGACAUUUCUGUGAACAAUAUAAUGACUUUCUGCUUGGCUUAGCUGGGAGGCUAAACCUCAUUUCUGAGCUAUGGUUGGGCACCCAGAGGCUGUUGGUGGGAAAGACUUGCUGGGACCUUCUCUUGUAGCAACCACACGGAGCUUGUGAGUUGGUCUGUUGGCACUGCACAAACAUGAAUGGGAUAUAUUCAGAAUUGCCUCUGGAGAGGAAGGUGAGGAAGCAAAGCGCAAUAAGUAUGGUUUCUGAGGAACUCUGUAAGGAAAUUAAACAAUAACAGAGUAGAAGAUCAACAAUUCCAGGUAAACAUGC